AUUUAAAGAAAGCGUAAUAGCUCACUGGUCGAGUCGGCCUGCGCGGAAGAUGUAACGGGGCUAAACCAUGCACCGAAGCUGCGGCAGCGAACGUAUCACUUAAAGCGAUUCAGCGGGUUACGAUUGACGGAGCGAAGCGACGUCAAAGCGUAUACAAAGUCGAGUCGGUUUAAGGAUACGUUCGUUGGGUAGGGGAGCGUUCUGUAAGCCUGUGAAGGUGGCCUGUGAGGGUUGCUGGAGGUAUCAGAAGUGCGAAUGCUGACAUAAGUAACGAUAAAGCGG
rnacentral:rRNA from 1 species